CUGAUGUCCAAUAUGUUGCUCGUCAGGUAAUUCUUCCAUUUGCCAGUUUUCCAUUUGCAUCUCUAAUUGUGGAUAGUUUAGCCGAUUAUUCUUGGCACACUUGGUGUCUUACUGGAUUGAUACAAAAAAAAAGACUAGACUGUUCUAUAGAGAACGUUGGUACGCAAGUUGUAAGCAACUCUUUGUUAGUAUGAAGCAUCUUAUUAUUAUUUAAAUUAUGCAGGCAUUACAUGCAAAUGCUCUACCGGUGCUUGACAUGUGCAAACAGUGGUUAGCACAGUACAUGUAAUUUGUUCCAUAGUUGGCAGAGUGCUGAUGGUUGGAUUGAGGGGGGAAUCAGCAAAGUCUGGUCAAUCAUUUUACAAGGCCAAGGACUGGAUAAUAUGGAAAAUAUGUGGCGAGCGGAUAAUAAUAUGUAUGGAAAAGCGACAACUCAAGUCAAGUCACCAUUAAGAUAUUGUAGAAGAGAAGAGCCGUACAUAGAAGAUAAAAAAGUACACAAGUGAGCUGCUGCUGCUGCUGCUUUCUUUGUUUGUUUCAUACCUACUGGGUUUGUACAAAAAGGUACAGCAGAGUGAGUAUCUUACAAUACUCAGAGCAAAUGGUUGGUUGGGUCCAAACACGAACAGAUCAUGGGCAAGGCUAGGUUGACAACCAAACCAAGGCAUACAUAGUUGUAAGUUAUAACCAGCCAAAAAUUACUCUGAUGCCAUGUACUCUACAACUUGUAAUAAACACCGAGUACCCCCCCCACCCCCCACCCAUCCAUUCAAACACGUUGAAGUCAGACAGAAGAAGUAUAUUUUACCGAAACAUCUUGGAUCUCUGUCAAUGCUUAAGCCAGUAGUUGCGCAAUUGAGCCAUGUGCAAUAGUAUCUCAUCACGCCCUUGAUUUGUAACACUGCUUGUCAUAAUCCAUGGUGGCGUUGUCUGGAAGUAACCUCGAAUCAGCUCUUGAAAAUCCUUUGCAUUCUCUUCUGGAUGCUUCCCUCCGUUCUUCUUCUUCUUCCUCUUGUCACAUUUUGUGAAAACUAAUGUCAUCGGAAUCUGAAGCAA
rnacentral:lncRNA from 1 species